UAAAACCAGAGCACGUUAACACCGUCCUCAAAUUAGAGAGGAGCUCCAACAAUGUCGAAGAAGAAGCUACUGACUCCUCUCUCCUCUCUUCUCCUCCUCCGACGAACCCUAACUUCCACCCCUCAUUUCUCAAUCCCACACCUGCAAUCCCGCACCAAUUUCUCCCCCAACAUCGAAAAGCUCCGCCCCCUUUUCCCGCUCCCCGGAUUUGAUUUUCCCGGCAAAUCUUUCAUCUCCUCCCAAUUUGGGGACAAACCCAAUUCCCCCCCACUGCUGGAACUGCAGCGCUUCCGCUCAAACGACGCCGUUUCUGCUCUGCCCCUCCUGCCGGUGCAUCCAACCCAUCGAUUACUUUCCGUUAUUUGGACUGUCAGUCAUUCCAGAAAUCUAGAUGCUUAUCAUUGUUUUGGAGUGCACAUGAUUUAGAUGAAUAGUAUCUUUCGGGUUCUCUCUCUGACAGAUGAAUCUGUCAAAUCAUUUACGGUGAAUGUAUGCCAAGUUUGUAAAAUCCAAGAUGGUUGAAGCAUGUGAAAUUUGAGUUUACAAAUUGGGAUGUUGCAAGUGAGCAUAUUUUGAUUGAGAUGAUUUGCCCAUGUAGGUGGUGUCUUAAUUCAUUAUUCUAGAAUUCGUAAUUGAGGACAUAAUCUUAUGUAAUUGGAGAAAGCAGAGUUCCUGUGUAGAAGUUUUGGAGGGUUGCUUUCAUCUUGUUUUCUGAAAUUGUUGGAAGUUAUUGGCUUCCAACUCUCAGGCUUUAAAUCAGAUUCAGUCUCUGGUAUGACCCAAGACUUAUUUAAUACAUGCAGGAAUAGUUUGUACGGGAGUACAUCAUUUCUGUAAGGCUAUCACAUAUGUGGUUUCCACACUCAAUGGAGAGCAAUUCCUUAACGGACUAAGGGUCAUCCGAUCUUUAGAUUCUUAGGAUUGACUAUUGCAUCCUGUCUAAUGGCAGGAAUGGUAUUGUUACAGUACUGUGUUUAUUUCUUUCUGGGAAGGAAACCUUGCUUGUUCACCUUCAAUCUCCUGCUUAGUCAAUUGAAUAUGUGUAAUGAGGUCCUUAAUGCGCUCUUAUUAUCUUAAUUUAUAUCCAAACUGACCUGUGUUCUUACUCAUGCAGAUGCAAGAGAAACUGAGGCAGUGGUCUAAUUCUUUUGCCGAGGCAUUUGAAAGCCGUAACUUUGAAGAAGCCGUAAAAGCUAUCCGGCGAAUGACUUAUUAUGAGCGUGUAAAUGAAGAAAUUGUAAAGAGGCUGUAAUGAAGGGGUAGUACAUACCAUAGUCUUCAACAAAAUCAUCAUUAUAGACAGAAUGGGUAUACCGCGAAUCAUAUAGUGUAUUAACAUUUCUGUCUGCAGAAAAUGGAAAAGGCUCUAUACAGUUAUGUUAUCAUAAUGUAAUGUCAUGUAAUAUAUCAGAAGUAGAAUUGUGGGUUUGUAUGCCUAAAAAUUUUGUAUUAGAGAAGGCUGGAACUCUUUUCUUUUACUUGUUACGUUAUUAACAGAUAUUACUAGUGAGACUUGCCAUCGAGCAACUUUCAGGGUGGGGCAUGUGAAACUGAUAUGGUUCUUGUGCAAACAGAAUUUUAAAUUUGUGAUCGGAAAGGACAAGCUCUAAUGAAGAAAUUGCAGGGUUUGAUUGAAGACCUGGUUGAGGUUCUGAUAUAAUGGAUAUUAGAUGAGCCGACAUUCUAAAAUAUUUUCAUGGUGGUUCAGACUUCAGAGAUAUGAAUUGUUUAUGCACCAGUUGUAUCUAGCAGGCGCUUGGAAAACUGGUCAAGAAUGGUUCUUAACAUCUUGGAAGUCACAAGAUUAUCCUGGAACUGGGAACUAUACCUCUAGGCUCUAUCCGAAUUGGAAUCAAAGUGCUAAGCCCCAGUAUUUUGUGUAUCAAGAUUUGACAAGGUACUGGCGAAGUGAUCCAUGGGCCAUGGCCUAGUUUCGUGAAUAAUCUAGACGAAAUGUAUUAUAUGGUAUCGUACAACACCAAUGUGAUUAAAAGAACGAGGUUACUCAAUUCUGGGUUAUAUCAGCACCUAACAUGGAAUGAUGCUGACCAUCAAUGGACGGAAGACUUUGCUGCUCCAAGAUACCGGUGUGACUGGUAUGCACAUUGCGGUGCCAAUAGCAAAUGUAGCCCUGACAACACUCUUCUGUUUGAGGGUGACUGUCUCCCCGGAUAUGAACCAAAAUAUGUAAAUAAGUGGAAUCAGAAUGAUGGGUCAGAUGGAUGUGUGAGUAAGCAAAUAGAUGCAUCCAAGUGUGAGCAUGGAUAAGGGUUUGUGAAGGUGGCGAGAGUAAAAUAUCCAGACACAACAAAAGCAGCCCGAUUGGAAAAACGUACGAGUACUAAAGUGUGUGAGCAGGAGUGCUUAAGAAAUUGUUCUUGCACAGCAUAUAUGAGCGUAAAAAAUGAAGGGCUUGUCGAUUGCUGGACAUGCUGAGUAUGCCAAAAAGGCAAAAAGUCAAAAGGCUUCUUCAGAAGGAAGGUUUUGUUGGCUAUUCCAAUAUUGUCUCUUCUUCUGCCGUUGGUACUAAUCACUGUGUUUACAUGUUGGUGGCUUAGUAAAAAGAGGAAGACAAAAGACUUGGUCCCAAACGAGCUUGAGGACACUAGGAGAUACCCGGAUCUGCAAUUUUUCCAUCUCAGCUCAAUAACUCUCCGGUCAAUGAGCUUGGCCAAGGCAGUUUGGCUCCGUCUAUCUGGGUCAGUUACCAAAGGUGCAGAAGAUUGCUGUAAAAAGGUUGUCUAAGACUUCUGGACAAGAAAUUGAAGAAUUCAAAAAUGAAGUUGGGCUGAUAGCCAGACUUCAACACAGGAAUCUUGUGAAACUUAUAGGCUGUUGUAUACAUGGAGAAGAAAGGAUAUUAGUACUCGAAAACAUGCCUAACAAGGGCUUGGAUUCAUUUAUUUUUGAUUCAACAAGAAGAUCCUUUUUGGACUGGCGAAAGCGCUUUGAAAUUAUCAAUGGAGUUGCUCGUGGGGUUUUGUAUCUUCAUCAAGACUGAGAAUUAUCCAUAGAAAGCCAGCAAUAUUGUUCUUGUAGAGAUGUUGACAUGAAGGCAAAAGUUUCAGAUUUCGGCAUAGUAAGAAUAUUCCAUGGAGACCAAAUAUGCAGGAUAUGACAAAUAGAGUUGUUGGAACAUAUGGCUAUUUGUCACAUGAGUAUGCAGUGUUUGGGAGACUUUCAACAAAAUCUGAUGUAUAUAGUUUUGGAGUCAUGUUACUGGUGUAAGCGGCAAGAAGAACAAUAGUUCUUACUGGGAGGAUUCUACCAUAAACUUGAUAGGAUAUAUAAGUAACACAAC